GACGAACGCUGGCGGCGUGCUUAACACAUGCAAGUCGAACGGAAAGGCCCUGCUUUUGUGGGGUGCUCGAGUGGCGAACGGGUGAGUAACACGUGAGUAACCUGCCCUUGACUUUGGGAUAACUUCAGGAAACUGGGGCUAAUACCGGAUAGGAGCUCCUGCUGCAUGGUGGGGGUUGGAAAGUUUCGGCGGUUGGGGAUGGACUCGCGGCGUAUCAGCUUGGUGGUGGGGUAGUGGCUUACCAAGGCUUUGACGGGUAGCCGGCCUGCGAGGGUGACCGGCCACAUUGGGACUGAAAUACGGCCCAGACUCCUACGGGAGGCAGCAGUGGGGAAUAGUGCACUAUGGGCGGAAGCCUGAUGCAGCAACGCCGCGUGCGGGAUGACGGCCUGCGGGUUGUAAACCGCUUUCGCCUGUGACGAAGCGUGAGUGACGGUAAUGGGUAAAGAAGCACCGGCUAACUACGUG
rnacentral:rRNA from 1 species